UCCGCCUGCCUCUGCCUUCUGAGUGCUGGGAUUAAAGGCGCGCGCCACCACGCCUGGCACUUUCUGCUUUUCUGUCUUGUUUAAGAUAUCUCCCCUCCCCUGAGGUCAGAAAUAAACGUCCUUACGUUCAGCAAUGAAUGUGUGUCUGCAGUGUAUGAAUGUCUGUCUAAGAACACUAGCUGUUCAGCAGGGACUGAAACAGAGACAUGGAGGGGUGCUGCUUACUGGCUUGCUCCCCAUGGCUUGCUCAGUCUGCUUCCUUGCUUUUUCCUUUGAGAUUGGGUCUCAUUGUCUCUCUUGCUGGCUUGCUGUGUUCCUUGUAGACCAGGCUGGCCUCAAACUCAGAGACCCGUCUGCCUCUGCCUCCUGAGUGCUGGGACUAAAGUCAUGCACCAACAUGCCCUGUUCAGUCCAUUUUCUUUCACUCUUCAGGACCACCUGCCCAGGAGUGGCACCACCUCAAGCCUUAGGUAGACCCUCCACAUCAGUCAAUAAUCAAGAAAAUUCCUUACAGAUUCACCUACAUGGUUAUCUCAAUGGAAGCAUUUCCUUAAGACUUCCUGUUCCUGGAUAACCCCAAGCUUCUGUCAAGUUGACAAAAAACUAACUAGCACAUGGACCGGAAAACAGAGUCUCUCCAGGCAUUGGCCACCAGACCGGGACUGCCGAGUUGCUUCACAGGGUGAGUGACUACUGGUAUUCUUGGCCUCUCCAGUGUGACACAGCCAUUGUUGGACUCCUCUGACCUUAAGAUACUGGUGAGGAUGCUUGAAAAGCUCCCUGCUCGCUCGCUCACUUGCUCGUGGAUCUGACUCUGUCCCGUGAGGUAGAUGUGGGUUUCUGCCCU